rnacentral:rRNA from 1 species
UGCCAGCAGCCGCGGUAAUACGUAGGGUGCGAGCGUUAAUCGGAAUUACUGGGCGUAAAGGGUGCGCAGGCGGUCUUGUAAGUCAGAUGUGAAAGCCCCGGGCUUAACCUGGGAAUUGCGUUUGAAACUACAAAGCUAGAGUGCAGCAGAGGGGAGUGGAAUUCCAUGUGUAGCAGUGAAAUGCGUAGAGAUGUGGAAGAACACCGAUGGCGAAGGCAGCUCCCUGGGUUGACACUGACGCUCAUGCACGAAAGCGUGGGGAGCAAACAGGAUUAGAUACCCUGGUAGUCCACGCCCUAAACUAUGUCAACUAGUUGUCGGAUCUAAUUAAGGAUUUGGUAACGUAGCUAACGCGUGAAGUUGACCGCCUGGGGAGUACGAUCGCAAGAUUAAAACUCAAAGGAAUUGACGGGGGCCCGC